CAGCGUGGAUUAGGCAUGCAAGUCGAACGGGAUCGUCUGGAUAGCAAUAUCGGGCGUGAGAGUGGCGGAUUGGGGAGGAGCACGUGAGCAACCUGCCCUGGAGAUGUGGAAAACCUCUGGAAACGGAGGCUAAUACAGAAUGUGGCGCCCCAUGGCAUCAUGGGAGCGCCGAAGGGGGCCGCAAGGCUCCCGCUCCGGGAUGGGCUCGCGCACCAUCAGCUAGUUGGCGGGUAACGGCCCACCAAGGCCUACGGUUAGCUGGUCUGAGAGGAUGACCAGCCCCACUGGGACUGAGAUACUGCCCAGACUCCUACGGGAGGCUGCAGUCGAGGAUCAUUCGCAAUGGACGGAAGUCUGACGAUGCGACGCUGCGUGGAGGAUGAAGGCCUUCGGGUCGUAAACUCCUGUCAUGAGGGAAGAGGCGAGGGAAGCUAAUACCUUCUUUAGUUGACUGUACCUCAAGAGGAAGCGACGGCUAACUCUGUGCCAGCCGCCGC
rnacentral:rRNA from 1 species